UUUAUCUUUUUCCUGUAAACGGAGAGUCAAUUUCCUGUGCGUCGUGCAUCGAAAAAUACCGCGAUUGCAUUCCGGAAUCCGGACGGAAAGUUUCAUAACGAUGGUCUGGACACAACUUGCAAUGCAAUACAGUGGAUGCUGAUCCGAACCCAAAAGCACAAAUGGAAAAAAAUAUUCUCGGAGUAAUGACCGGAAUAGAAUAUGGCAAGCGAUGCGCUUUAUAUCGGCAGAAAACGAGACUCGAUUGAAUCCGCGUUGUGAUUCCGUCACUUCCAGCAUUAUUUUAAACAUUGGAGCCACGGAUUUGAUUCAUCUUCCGAUCUGCUGUAAACGGAGUGCUUGGUGUAAAACUGUGGAAAGUCGAGGUGCUCGUUCUUCAGUCGUCAACUCAAAUGUCGCCGAAGACGCGGAAGUUUUUAUUAUGCUGGGAGAUGAUGCUGCUUUAAAAGGCAAACAGUAGGAGAAUAUUUAGAACCAUUUUCAAAGCGACGAGCAUGCCGGAUGGAGUGAUUUGCGAACGAAGGAUGAUGCACAAAUCAACUGUCAACGACAUAUUAUAAUCUCCAGUGCAAAGCGUUCGCGACUAUCAGAAGCAAUCGGUCAACACAAAAUAGGAUCAGCAGAAAACGUCAUCGUUGGGGGACGGAGGACAUUUGGCGAUUUGGAAGUAUACGACCUUACCGAUGUCUUUCUAAAAAUUUCAAAAUGCUCGUAGCUAAUCGUGGUAAUGGUUAUGACGAACCACGCACCAGAAGAUUGCUCUGGAACUAAACCGCUAGAGGCCACUUUUGAACUGAUGGGUUACCCCUUGGGUUACGCUCUCUCCGACCCGGCUAACAAGAGAGAAUCAGUCGACUUCUUCAUAAACGUCACGAUCUACCGGAAGGAAUACACUCGGAUGCUCAACCAUUACCAAUUCCCUCUGCCGGAAUGCUCAGAGAAGCAAUACGCCACGCCAAAAGCAUUGAUCUUCACUUCUUCCAAUGAUGAUGCUCCUUGUGGUGCCGUUCCUUCGAGUAGUGCUUUGUACAGAGUAUUUUCUCCAGCACUAUCCUAGAAUAGAGUCGGCUGCAGAGCAAGGAAUCGGAAUCGCAGGAAGAAAAGAAGGGAUGAUCCACCUUUGGAGGAGGCAGUGUAUGCCCUCUAUAUGACAACCAGGGCGACUGCAACAACGAGCAAGACUGGAUCAGCUAGCUGACGCUGAAUCCGAUAAGCUUCGGCGAUAGUUUACAUUCUGUCGUAUUUACGUCGAAUAAUUAUAUCAACAGUGAUCACAUGAAUAACGAUUGCAAUGGACGUAGCAGCGGUGGCAGCUGUUACAACAAUGGUAGACGGGAUGGGAUCAAAAACAGAACCAAGACGGUUCGAAUGCGCACAACUUGCAUUACUCGAACCACGGAGAAUGUUUAUGAUGUGAAAUAUAAAUCAUAGCAUGUAUAAACAUAAAUAGAAUCAUAUCAAUAAGUAAAAUAAAAACUUUCAAAUUUGUAAUUUUUAGUUUGACGUGUUUAAUUCAAAUUGAAAGCGUGCGCAACUUGUUGUUCUGAAAGUAUCACUACUUGAUUCUAAUGUAAAAUACACAUUUAGUUUUAAGAGGAAAAUGUUAUUUUUAAAAUAAAAACACAUUUAGU